UACGAAGGGGGGCUAGCGUUGCUCGGAAUCACUGGGCGUAAAGCGCACGUAGGCGGAUCUUUAAGUCAGGGGUGAAAUCCCAAGGCUCAACCUUGGAACUGCCUUUGAUACUGGGGGAUCUCGAGUCCGGAAGAGGUGAGUGGAACUGCGAGUGUAGAGGUGAAAAUUCGUAGAUAUUCGCAAGAACACCAGUGGCGAAGGCGGCUCACUGGUCCGGUACUGACGCUGAGGUGCGAAAGCGUGGGGAGCAACAGGG
rnacentral:rRNA from 1 species